rnacentral:lncRNA from 1 species
GGAAAUUUAAGGAAGACAGUUUGCAUUCAUGAGAAUUCAAGUAGAUACAACUUCCAUUCUUGCACUUCAUCUCCUAGAGAAUCAGGGAGUACCUGGAGUUUGAAACGCAAUACAAGAGAAGGACUUUCAGAGACCUGAAACCCAGCCCUCGAACAACAAACAAAGUUCAACUCAUUUUUAAGCCCUCAGUUGUUCAUAUUCAUAUUGUAGUCAGGAUUGAUAGAAUUUUCAGAGAUCUUUUCAAUGGAAUAGUAGACCUUAGUGAAUUCUUUCAGAUUGAGCCACUCCAAAUUUGCAGAGUUUUUAAUGCUCC